rnacentral:rRNA from 2 species
ACACAUGCAGUCGAACGAUGAUCAGGAGCUUGCUCCUGUGAUUAGUGGCGAACGGGUGAGUAACACGUGAGUAACCUGCCCCUGACUCUGGGAUAAGCGUUGGAAACGACGUCUAAUACUGGAUAUGAUCACUGGUCGCAUGGCCUGGUGGUGGAAAGAUUUUUUGGUUGGGGAUGGACUCGCGGCCUAUCAGCUUGUUGGUGAGGUAAUGGCUCACCAAGGCGACGACGGGUAGCCGGCCUGAGAGGGUGACCGGCCACACUGGGACUGAGACACGGCCCAGACUCCUACGGGAGGCAGCAGUGGGGAAUAUUGCACAAUGGGCGAAAGCCUGAUGCAGCAACGCCGCGUGAGGGAUGACGGCCUUCGGGUUGUAAACCUCUUUUAGUAGGGAAGAAGGGAGCUUCGGUUCUUGACGGUACCUGCAGAAAAAGCACCGGCUAACUACGUGCCAGCAGCCGCGGUAAUACGUAGGGUGCAAGCGUUGUCCGGAAUUAUUGGGCGUAAAGAGCUCGUAGGCGGUUUGUCGCGUCUGCUGUGAAAUCCCGAGGCUCAACCUCGGGCUUGCAGUGGGUACGGGCAGACUAGAGUGCGGUAGGGGAGAUUGGAAUUCCUGGUGUAGCGGUGGAAUGCGCAGAUAUCAGGAGGAACACCGAUGGCGAAGGCAGAUCUCUGGGCCGUAACUGACGCU